GACGUAGGGCGCGAGCGUUGUCCGGAUUUAUUGGGCGUAAAGAGCUCGUAGGCGGCUUGUCGCGUCGACUGUGAAAUCCCGCGGCUCAACUGCGGGUCUGCAGUCGAUACGGGCAGGCUAGAGUUCGGUAGGGGAGACUGGAAUUCCUGGUGUAGCGGUGAAAUGCGCAGAUAUCAGGAGGAACACCAGCGGCGAAGGCGCUGCUCUGGGCCGGUACUGACGCUGAGGAGCGAAAGCGUGGGGAGCGAACAGG
rnacentral:rRNA from 1 species